GACAGAGGUGCCGAGCGUUAGGCGGAAUCACUGGGCUUAAAGCGUGUGUAGGCGGAUGCCUAAGUACCUUGUGAAAUCCCACGGCUUAACCGUGGAACUGCUUGGUAUACUGGGUGUCUUGAGCCACUUAGGGGCGACCGGAACAAACGGUGGAGCGGUGAAAUGCGUAGAUAUCGUUUGGAACGCCAAUGGUGAAAACAGGUCGCUGGGAGUGCGCUGACGCUGAGACACGAAAGCCAGGGGAGCGAAUGGG
rnacentral:rRNA from 1 species